UUGUAUCACAAAAAUGAUGAUUGGAGAAAAGAUCCAACAGUGGACAAAAAUGAUGAAAGACCUCAUAAGCGAUUGAAACUUGAAGGUUGAAAUGUUGUUACAGAAAAGGUAAUGUAAGUACAAAAUCCCUGAGCUUAUAAUAUUAGAUCAGAACAUAUUGAUAAGAUCCCCUUUAUGUCCCCAUGUCCCUUUCUCAUAUGGUAAAGGGAUGGCUGAUGGUUGUGCAAAUUUACUAAAGCAGGUGCUGCUUCCAGAGGAAAUUUACUCCAUUUCUAAGGCCUCUUGUUUGCCUAAUCUUCACGAUAUGCCUAAACUUGGAAGUUUUUCCUAUGGUGUUCUUUAUAGAUGACGUGGCUUACUGCAUGGUAGUUUAAUAGUUUCAAGGUGUUAUAUGGUUACAGAUUUGGUUCUCUAGGCUAUGAAAGGGUAUUGGUUGCUCUUCGAUACUGCUCGGUUGUUGAGUCCUCGGUUAACAGCAGGAAACAAACUGAUGCCGUACAUUUCAUUCAUGCCUUCCAUCUUACUGAAAGCUUUCCCCCCUGUUCCCCUCUUGAAGACAUACUUAAAGAAUUGAAGGAGAAGCUCACAGGGAAAGGGUGUGAGUUCGGGUGGAGAUACUAGUGCACAGAUUGAUGUAAAUGCACAGGAACUUGCUGCUUUGAAAGCUGUAGUUAGUUGUGUCCAAGAGUACAGGCUUGAACCUGACUAUCCUCUCGAUCCACUUCAGAAAAGGAUUGAACAACUGGAGAGGUCGGAAUCUGAUAAGAAAAGGGGUGGAGAUUUUGGUAGACGUCAACACUCCAAGAAACAAAGAGCAAACUGAGGAUACGGUGGAUUUCUUUCUCACAGUGGUAAGGCAGCUCCCGGUAGGCUUGUUCCGCCUGCUUUCUGAUGUGUCGUGCACUUGUGAGCAAGACACAACAUUUUCUUUGACAGGGCAGCAUAUGGAGGAAUGCCUGAGAGAUAUCCUCUGGCUGGUCCAAACUCUUACGAUUAUCAAGUUCGUAGCCAGCCUGUUUUUGCUCAGCAACCAAAUGAUCAAAGAAUAUGCUUUUAUCCCCACGAUGUAGUUAUCAAAUGCAAGAUAUGUGUGCAACCUUACUGAAUGUGCAGAGAAUUUAUUUGUGAGUGAAUCACAUUUUCCCACCCAAGUUUGGCUGUAAAACACUUCUUCACCUC